rnacentral:rRNA from 1 species
ACCUGCGGAGGGAUCAUUACAGAGUUCAUGCCCUCACGGGUAGAUCUCCCACCCUUGUGUAUCUCUUGUUUUUGUUGCUUUGGCAGGCCGUUAGCUCGCUAACCACCGGCUCUCGGGCUGGUGCGCGCCUGCCGGAGGACCUCCCAAACUCUGUUUGUUAGUGUCGUCUGAGUACUAUAACAAUUUGUUAAAACUUUCAACAACGGAUCUCUUGGUUCUGGCAUCGAUGAAGAACGCAGCGAAAUGCGAUAAGUAAUGUGAAUUGCAGAAUUCAGUGAAUCAUCGAAUCUUUGAACGCACAUUGCGCCCUUUGGUAUUCCGAGGGGCAUGCCUGUUCGAGCGUCAUUUCAACCUCUCAAGCUCAGCUUGGUGUUGGGCCGCGCCGGUGCACUGCGCUGGCGGGCCUUAAAAUCAGUGGCGGUGCCGUCCGGGCUCUAAGCGUAGUAACAACUCUCGCUCUGGAGACCUGGCGGUGUCUUGCCAGACAAUUCUUACAUUUCUCAAGAGUUUGACCUCGGAUCAGGUAGGGAUACCCGCUGAACUU